rnacentral:lncRNA from 1 species
CAAGAACACGACAACAUUCACAUAUUUACUCUUUCAGACCCAUACAAACCACUAAAGACUCAUACAAGUACUCAUUCUACCCUAGAACAAUCUUGCAAUGGAACCUUCUCCCAGUAGCUGCAGUUCAAUGUACUACUCUUGAAAGCUUCCGAGAACAGAUUCCAAUAUCUGUUCUCAAUAAACAUCUAAACAUUUAAAUAAAUUCCACAAUGUAUAUAGUUUUAACCAAAAUGUAUAGUACAAAAAC